UACGAAGGGUGCAAGCGUUGUCCGGAGUUAUUGGGCGUAAAGAGCUCGUAGGCGGUUUGUCGCGUCUGCUGUGAAAACUGGAGGCUCAACCUCCAGCCUGCAGUGGGUACGGGCAAACUAGAGUGCGGUAGGGGAGAUUGGAAUUCCUGGUGUAGCGGUGGAAUGCGCAGAUAUCAGGAGGAACACCGAUGGCGAAGGCAGAUCUCUGGGCCGUAACUGACGCUGAGGAGCGAAAGCAUGGGGAGCGAACAGG
rnacentral:rRNA from 1 species